ensembl:lncRNA
GGUUCAUCAGGCUAACAUUUGUCUUCAUCGUUACCCGUGCAUGGAACAUACUGGCUGGAUGUUACCAUUUUGGACCCUCUACCAGCACAGUCAGAAGGGAUUUCGAUGUGAACGAGCAGCCUCAAGCAUUCAACGUCACCGGCAUUCUGACACCACCGCUCAUCCACCACCUGUUGGACACCACCACCUGUUGUCUUGUUUAGUGCACCUGGUCCACCUUCACAAUCAUUCCCCCCAGUAUAUGUUUCCACUGCUUCCCUGGUCUUUGUGUGUUAUUGUCUCACUGUUGUGAGCAUUGUUUGUGCUAUGCCAUUAUUAAAAGACGUUAAACAUACAACUCCACGUUUCCUGCUCCUCGCUUACUACGAAGCCUAACAGAAUAACACACCCAAAAAGGAAACAUGGAGCACAGAGGACCCGAAAGUAAGGCCGGUGUUGCGGAUCUGGUAAAGGAACACUCGUCGAUGCUCGCCAGCCUAGGCACCGCGAU